rnacentral:rRNA from 1 species
GCAGCAGCCGCGGGAAUACGUAGGGUGCGAGCGUUAAUCGGAAUUACUGGGCGUAAAGCGUGCGCAGGCGGUUGUGUAAGACAGGUGUGAAAUCCCCGGGCUUAACCUGGGAACUGCGCUUGUGACUGCACAGCUAGAGUAUGGCAGAGGGGGGUGGAAUUCCACGUGUAGCAGUGAAAUGCGUAGAGAUGUGGAGGAACACCGAUGGCGAAGGCAGCCCCCUGGGCCAAUACUGACGCUGAGGUGCGAAAGCGUGGGGAGCGAACGGGAUUAGAUACCCCCGUAGUCCCUGUCUCUUAUAC